rnacentral:lncRNA from 1 species
GCUUUUUAUACUUUCUGUGAUUGUGUGCAUCUAAAUUUCCCUGAGAGGUACUGUUGACCUGACAAAACUGGCUGCCAGUUGGCUGACAAGAUUCAUCUAGAUGGUUACUUCCUGUUCCUGUCUACAGACUUGAAAAAACGGAUUCACUUUCAUUCAAAGGCUUCUCUGCACAUAAUGGCACAAAAUGUUCAGAAGUAGGAUAAUUCCUUAUAAAUCUAUGUCUGGUUACCCUCAGAUAAACAUUUCCAUUAUCUCAUUUUGUGCUCCUGUCUAGUAUGCCACAUUUUUCAUUGUAUGUAGGUGGCCUUAAACCAUAUAGCAAAAGCAUUUCCCCCAAACACUGAAUCUUCUCUUUACUAUGAACCAUUUUCCUCAUUUCCUUGUCGUUGAACAGUUCCUCUCAACAGGCUUAAAAACCUUUUUCUACUUUGAUUUUUUUUUUCUGGUUAUGCUGGUGUCUUACAUCCUUUUAGGAACUCAUACAUGUUUUAUUAGCACAUUUAAGAAUGAAAUUACCUAUUUUUCUUCUGUGUGUUGGGUGAAGAAAUUUUUUUUGCUAUUUUUAGAUAAUACAUAUUUAAUGUUCUUAUAGUCAUUGCCCUGUACAAAGUAGUUAUCACACAGAAGAUGCAAUUUCUUGUGCUCAGUGAUGUUUAUUCUGUUUCAGUCUGCUUUAAAAUUCUUAACUUCCUGGGUUCUUUACCCCAUUAAAUGUUGCUUUUAAACCUUUUGGUUAAUUUUAGUUCCAAGUAUGUGUUUUUAUAAAAGAUGUUGGAUGAGCAUUUGUAAAUGAGAAACCGGAGUUCCAGAUUAUUGAGUAAUAGUUUUAUUCUGUCAACUAAAAUCUGAUUUCUUCCCUCUUCAGGUGUCUGUCCUAAACAUAAUAGAGAGUUUCAGUAGUAAUUCAUCUAUCUUUGACACAGAUAUUUUCCCAUAAUUGCAACUAUAAAAGUGGAUGUUGCCUGGGACAGGCAAGGAACAGGUAGAGUAUAGACUAUUAUGCAUAUACUUAGAGGGUUCUUAACAACACAUACUCAACAGCUCCUAAAAUUCAAAGAGUAUUAAGUAUAAAAGACAGCAUAACAAGUUAGCAAGACUGUCAAACAACUUCUUGUUACCUGAAUAUACUGUGCACUUUUACAUUCCCAUGCACUCACUUACUGUGGAAUGUCUUUGCUCUC